ensembl:miRNA tgu-mir-2971 tgu-mir-2971
GCCUGCUUGCUGUUAUAAAGCCUGUAGGAUUGGGUCGUGUUGGAUAUUUAACUUCUCUUCCCUCGAUCUGCAUCUCACUGGCUUGAAAUCAGCCUGGCAGC